CCUACGGGAGGCAGCAGUGAGGAAUAUUGGUCAAUGGUCGGGAGACUGAACCAGCCAAGCCGCGUGCGGGAUGAAGGUACUGUGUAUUGUAAACCUCUUUUGUCCGGGAACAAAGCCCGAGACGCGUCUCCGGUUGAGAGUACCUGACGAAAAAGCAUCGGCUAACUCCGUGCCAGCAGCCGCGGUAAUACGGAGGAUUCGAGCGUUAUCCGGAUUUAUUGGGUUUAAAGGGUGCGUAGGCGGUUUGAUAAGUUAGCGGUUAAAGGUCGGGGCUCAACCCCGGCACGGCCGUUAAAACUGUUGGACUAGAGAAGAGGUGCGGUAGGCGGAAUGUACGGUGUAGCGGUGAAAUGCUUAGAGAUCAUACAGAACACCGAUUGCGAAGGCAGCUUACCAACCCAUAUCUGACGCUGAGGCACGAAAGCGUGGGUAGCGAACAGGAUUAGAUACCCCUGUAGUC
rnacentral:rRNA from 1 species